rnacentral:lncRNA from 1 species
CCCAGAUUGAAGUGCCGAAGUUGCGAGCUGCCAUGGAGAGUUCUGAUCCUGACCCUACAGAUGACAGUUCCAUGGACGCGUUCCUGGACAAGUUCCAGAGCCAGCCUUACCGCGGCGGCUUCCGCGAGGACCAGUGGGAGGAGGAAUUUGACAAGAUCCCCCUAUUUAUGAAAAAAGCGCCAUCAGAAAUUGAUCCCAAGGAGUUUCCUGACUUGGCUUGCCUCCAAUCGAUUAUUUUUGAUGAUGAGCGAUCUCCAGAAGAGCAAGCCAAGACCUAUAAAGAUGAGGGCAAUGACUACUUUAAAGAAAAAGACUAUAAGAAAGCUGUGGUUUCCUACAGUGAAGGACUGAAGAAGAAGUGUGCAGACCCUGAUCUGAAUGCCAUCCUGUAUACCAACCGGGCAGCAGCACAGUACUAUCUCGGCAAUUUCCGCUCUGCUCUCAAUGACGUGCUGGCUGCCAAGAAGCUAAAGCCUGAUCACCUGAAAGCCAUCAUACGAGGAGCUGAAGUACAAAGAGCUGUGUCCUGUCUCCCCUCCUGGGGCUGGCUGGAGGCUGGUGCCCUGUGCCAUCUUGAACUGAAACACUUUGCUGAGGCUGUGAACUGGUGUGAUGAGGGACUACAGAUUGAUGCCAAAGAGAAGAAACUUCUAGAAAUGAGGGCAAAAGCAGACAAGCUAAA